rnacentral:rRNA from 1 species
AGUCGAGCGGUUCCUUCGGGAGCACCGGCGGACGGGUGAGGAACACGUGAGUAACCGGGCAUCCGGUGGGGGAUAUCGGGCCGAAAGGCGCGGCUAUCCCGCAUACAUCCCGACUCCGGACGGAGUCGGGGGAAAGGCCUUCGGGUCGCUGGAUGGGGGGCUCGCGGCCCAUUAACUAGUUGGGGGGGUAACGGCCUCCCAAGGCGACGAUGGGUAGCCGGCCUGAGAGGGUGAUCGACCACACUGGGACUGAGACACGGCCCACACUCCUACGGAAGGCAGCACUAUGGAAUCUUCCACGAUGGGCGCAUGCCUGAUGGAUCAACACCGCGUGAGUGAAGACGGCCUUCGGGUUGUAAAGCUCUGUCUGUCGGGACGAGGGCCCGGAUGCCAAUCCGGGCGGGACGGUACCGGCGGAGGAAGCCCCUGCAAACUACGUGGCUCCAACUGCGUUAACACGUAGGGGGCAAGCGUUGUCCGGAAUUACUGGCCGGAAAUUCCGGGUAUGAGGCUUCACACUGCCGGUUUUCAUCCGCCGGCUCACCCGGCGGAGGGUGGCUAACCUGUGAGAGUUGAGGUCAGGAGAGGUGCACUUAAUUCCUGGUGGAGCGGUGAAAUGCGUAGAGAUCAGGAAGAACACCGGUGGUGAAGAAGGUGCAAUGGCCUGGCCUUGACGCUGAGGCGCGACAGCGUGGGGAGCAACCGGGAUUAGAUACCCCGGUAGUACACCCCGUAAACGAUGGAUAGUAGGUGUCGCGGGGGUCCACCCGGCGGUGCCGGAGCUAACGCACUAAGUAUCCCGCCUGGGGAGUACGGCCGCAAGGUUGAAACUCAAAGGAAUUGACGGGGGCCCGCACAAGCAGUGGAGCAUGUGGUUUAAUUUGACGCAACGCGCAGAACCUUACCAGGACUAGACGGGACCAGGAGUCCCCCGAAAGGGGGAGGUUUCUUCGGAAGAGUGGUCGUCAGGUGCUGCAUGGUUGUUGUCAGCUCGUGUCGUGAGAUGUUGGGUUAAGUCCCGCAACGAGCGCAACCCUUGUCGUGUGUUGCCAGCGGUUCGGCCGGGCACUCUCACGAGACUGCCGGUGACAAACCGGAGGAAGGUGGGGAUGACGUCAAAUCUGCAUGGCCUUUAUGUCCUGGGCCACACACGUGCUACAAUGGCGCCGACAACGGGCCGAGACCUCGCGAGGGGGAGCGAAUCCUUCAAACGGCGUCUCAGUUCGGAUUGCAGGUUGCAACUCGCCUGCAUGAAGCCGGAAUUGCUAGUAAUCGCGGAUCAGCAUGCCGCGGUGAAUUCGUUCCCGGGCCUUGUACACACCGCCCGUCACACCACGAGAGUCGGCCACACCCGAAACCGGU